rnacentral:snRNA from 1 species
GUGCUUGCUUCAGCAGCACAUAUACCAAACUGGAAAAAGGCAGAGAAGAUUAGCAUGACCCCUGUGCAAGGAUGACUUGCAAAUUCAUGAAACUUUCAUAUUU